GUGUGCAUGGCAGACGUGUUUUUUCGAACGUGAGAGAGAGCGUUUGAACGAGUUUGAGGCAGUCCGAGCAGAAAUUGUUAGUUUUUCAGCUCGUUCUUGGACUCGAGGGCCUUGUCGAUUUGCCCUUUGUGCUCGUCAGUUGUUUCCGGACCGUGAAGGAACUUGCAGGCGCAGCCCUUCUGCAUGAUUUGCGCCCGCGUAUACCCGGUGCUAAUAUUGAAUCUGGACAGCGCGGAAUAAUUACUGCCACCAUCGUGUGCUCUAAAGAUUAAUGAAAUAGGUAGGUGUUUAAUUGGUGAUGCCAUAUAUAUUGAUUUUGCCACCAUCCGCCAUGAGUACCAAUUAGAUUGCAUACCCACGU